rnacentral:lncRNA from 10 species
AGGGGUGUGGGAACCACUCCCAAGAGGCCUAGCAGUCCCAGCACUGACCAGGGUUGACCCGAGGAGUAACCUGCCUCCCCCGGAAAACCUGAGCUGUCUUCUUCCCACCUCAGUCACCACCCAGAUGUGAAGUAAUGCAAAAGGCUCAACGUGGUCAAAAGAGCCCCGUUAGCCAGAAUCUAGCCUCGGUUGCAAAGCAGCUUAACAUGCAACAGCUCCCUACACGUUCUCCUGACCCCACCCUCCACCAACCCCCAAAGGCAGAAGCCAUGAAGUCAGGACAAAGAAGGGUGGUGGCCAUGAUAUCCCAUUGUUCUACAGGUACAGGACCACACAACGAGGACAAAAUAAGACGUUUAAAUAUUCGAAAGAGCUGUCUCUACUAUAAUGUAGAUGAUACAUUUAUAAACCUGGAAAACUCACAAGAAUGGACUGUGAAGGACAGCAGGAUGUGUCCUUAAUCUGACACAACUGGUGUCCUCAUAAGACAAGGACAAGAAACAGAGAAACACCAGGGAAGAUGCUGUGUGAAGGUGGAGACACAGAUUGGAGUGAUGUGUCUGCAGGUCAGAAAACACCAAGGGUUGCCGGCAAAAUCAGAAGCCAAGAGAAAGGCAUGGACCAGAUUCACCCCUAGGACCUUCAGAAAGACCAUGGGCUUCCAGUACCUUCACGUUGGACUCCAGCCUCCAG